UAGGCCUAAUGUAUCAUCUGCCUUAUUUACCGCUUUGAGACGCCUUAUCGGUUUAUAGUUGAUACCAAUUUCAUCAAUUUUUCUAUCCAUAACAAAGCAGUUGGAUUUAGAGAAAGCAAUGAUGGACUGCUUAUAUGCUUAAUGAGGUGAUUCUGAGACAUUAAUGUUUUUACAAAUUAGCCCAUCAGAGCAGGACUUGGGUGAGACUUUGAGCUCACUAAAUUUUUUCAAUCGAGUUCGUGGGGUUGAACUUUCCCCUAGAAAAAUGGCAGACUGAUACAAGCGAGCUUCAAAAAACAAAGAUCUUGACAAAGCGAGGCAAGAAUUCAAAUCCAAAGAGGAAUCCAUAAGAAAGCUAGAAGAGAGCCUCCAGAACAUUGAAUUCCAUUGCUAGAAGAGACCCUUGCAGCAGCAAAGCAAUCUGAUGUUGUUCUUCUCGAUCAAACAAAUAUUGGUGUUUGAUACCUGCUGCCAUUAUUGCCAACACCUCUAUCAUCUACUGCCACAGCCUCUAUGGUUUCAUUUUCCCCUAACGGCUUGCUAAGGCUCGAGUUCAAGGUCCAAGUCAAAGCUUUUUAAUUGCCACCCAACAUCAAGCGACUACUGCCUCCUUCCACCAAUCCGCAACACCACUCACCAGCCAGAAACUACCAACCAAAUCAGCCCACCAAUCGCACGCACAUCACCGCCAUCAGCCACCCAACUCACACCUCCUCCGUCCACCCUCACCUCGCAACAGCCCCUGUACCUCCCUCACCAACACGAGCUACAACCACCACAACCUCCACAUCUACCAACCAUCGCAAUUCACCUGACCAUCAAAGCAGCGCACCAACACCACCGCAACUCAGAGCAGCAGCCACCACAAUCAAUUAGCCCAAAUUCGCAACUGCAGCUACCCAGGCCGCCGCGGGCGCGUCUUCUUCUGCCGCGGGCGCGACCCUGUCCUUCCACCCCUUAUCCAAUUAUCGGUAGAUGCCGAGGAGAUGUAUAGGAGAUGGCGCGGCUCAAACCACCGCGGGCGCGGCCUAGUCUUACGCGGGCGCGCUCUUUUAGGUUCAUUUUGAACCGUAGCACGAGCUUCUCACGUGGCUUUUAAUGAGGAUCGAACGCUGGUGUUGGCUUGAUGCCGAUUUUCAAUGAUGAUGAGCGGUAGUGAUUUGAUGAUGAUGGUUGUUAGUUUUCUUUGGUGAGAUGCAAAGCAUGGGAUUAAAACACUAUUUUAGAGCAGCCAAUUUCGAAGAAAAAAAAGUAGGGGCGGAUUGUUUUGGUGGGAUUGGUGGGUUUUAAUUUUUUCUUUUUCUUUUAAUUUUAUUUCUUUUCUUCUCCCUUUUUCUUAUUUCUUUCUUUUAUUUU